rnacentral:rRNA from 1 species
CGUAGGGUGCGAGCGUUAAUCGGAAUUACUGGGCGUAAAGCGUGCGCAGGCGGUUUUGUAAGCCAGAUGUGAAAUCCCCGGGCUUAACCUGGGAAUGGCAUUUGGGACUGCAAGGCUUGAGUGCGGCAGAGGAGACUGGAAUUCCUGGUGUAGCAGUGAAAUGCGUAGAUAUCAGGAGGGAUACCGAUGGCGAAGGCAGGUCUCUGGGCUGACACUGACGCUCAUGCACGAAAGCGUGGGGAGCAAACAGGAUUAGAUACCCUGGUAGUCCACGCCCUAAACGAUGUCGACUGGUUGUUGGGGGUUUGACACUCUCAGUAACGAAGCUAACGCGUGAAGUCGACCGCCUGGGGAGUACGGCCGCAAGGUUA